CCUGUAGAAACAUCUGCAUGGUUAAUCUCCUCUUGGCGUCCAACAGUGGGGCCGUCUGUACAGUCAGCUUUGUCAUGCUGGAGUUCUCCUAGGUUAUCACCUUGCCUUCUCUGAGGAGCCACAGUGCUGAAGGGAGGAGAGAAGCCCUGUCCACCUGCACCUCCCACAUCAUCAUAGUCAUCUGUUCUUUGAUCCUUGCAUAUUUAUAUACACUUGCCCUGCAACCGCCUUCUCCAUGGACAAGACAGAGUUUUGUUUUAUAGAAUUGGAAUACCUUUGCUCAACUCUCUGUUUUGUACACCAAGGAAUGCAAGAAAUGAAAAUGCCAUGAAAAAUUUACAGAGCAAGACGAUCCCAGAAGACAAAGAUGAAUGGAAGUUUCAAAUUCUUCUUCAUAGUUUGGAUUGAUCUAAAACUCCACAAAAUAUUUUAUCCUCUUAUUAUGGAAUUAUUAUAAUGCUAACUUGGAACAUGAGAGUUAUUUCCUUCAGGAAAAUAGGAAAUGUGAAUACUUCCACUGGCUAGUGUUGAGUCAAAUUUAUGUAGAAGAAGAGACUGAGUGAGUUUUUUUAGAUUCUUCUAGAACAGUAACAUAACAGUGAUGAAAUCAGCCUUUUCAGUUUUCCAGUUCUACCAGCUCUCCCAUACUCAGCAAGGCAGCAUUUCUGAAAAGGAAGAGAGACUGGGAAUCUCUCCCGACAGCUGCAGUCCCUCCAAGCCCAGAAUGGGAAGCUUGCAGACACUCUGCUGCGUGUAGCUGAAAAACUCUGUCGUGAGCUUUAUAACAAAACUGGAGGAGUUUGCCUUGCCUCAGAGCUACUCUGAGUUUUUCUACUCUUACUGGACAGGGCUGUCCCGCAACGGCAGUGCCAAGGCCUGGCUGUGGGUUGACGGAGCCCCUUACUCCUCGGAACUGUUUGAAAUCGUAAUCGAUUUCAGCAGCCUAAGAAGCAGGGACUGUGUGACCAUCCUCCACGGAAAGGCUUUCUCCAAGGACUGCAGGGAGCUGAGGCGGUGCGCGUGUGAGACGGCGGCGGGGGCGGCGAGGCUGGGGGAGCUCCGGUAGCUUCUCUGCCCCAUCACGGGGCCGACAGACUCUCCCGCCUCAGCUGCCCCCCAGGCGCCCUUCGGAGAAACCGAAGAUCAGAUCCAAAGUCGGUCACCUUAUGUGUACCUGGAAUAGUUUGGUUUCCCAUUGUCUUCCAACUGAUCCGUGUCUCUGCAACGAUCCAACAAAAUGUCCGAGCCAAGUGAAGUCAGCGCAAGGGGUAUUUAAGACAUUGGGGAGUGGGGAAAACAGAAGAAUGGCGAUCCCUCUGGUACAAGAAGGAUUUUCACGUUUCCUGUUCAGGAUCACCAGCGCUUCUGAGCUCAGCUUCAUGCCUAUGCUGACCACUCAGAGAGAAGUCCUAUUUAUGGACCAACCAUCCCCAAAGCCCAUAAAGAUGCAAUCUGCCUCCUUGACUUAGAGGUAACUUCCUAGUGUUCCUCCUCCUCAGCAUCUUCCUGUUUCCAUGUCCCCCUUAAUAUUGGGAGAAAUGAGAAACUUACGGAAGUAGAAGAAAUUGAUGAAUGUAGCAUCCUUUGCUCCAACAGCUAAGCAGUCCAUGAGAAGUCAGCCAUCACUCCCUAUAGUGUGCUACCAAAUACACAGAUCCUUCUUUUUGUUUCCUUCAGGUCAUACUUUUCUCUCCCCAAACUCUCAAGAAGACCCAUCUGGCCUGCUUCCCCCUGGGAUAAUUCCCUUUAUUAGGAUUUAACUUCUUAGAAACAUAUACCCUGCUCCCCGUCCCCCUCCCCCAUGCUCAUUUAAGACCCCAAUAAUUGUCUUCUUUCCCUAGGAAUGUCUUCCAGGAAAGAAAUAUUCUUAACUCGGUUCCAUAUCAGAAUUAAGGUCCCUGAUGCUCCCUUCAGAGAAAUAGGUCAAUAGCUUUACGUGCAUCUGUAAUAGUUUGGCUUCAGUUCCUAUUUUCUUCCAUUUGAUCCAUUAGGUACUGAUGAUUUAAUAAUAAUAAAUGUAAAUAAUGUGAGGUGUCUGUGGUUUUGGAAUGGAUUUGUGAUUUGGGGAAAAAUUCAGCGUGGAGAUGCUCUUCAAAACAUGAUAGCAAUCAGUGUUUUGGGUGGUUGUGCCUUCCUGAGAGUGUGUAGGGAUUCUACAAGAGUACUGAUUAUUUGAGUUGAGGAAAGCAAGCAGUCUUUGAGAUGCAUGCUGUAUUCAGGAGGAUGGUUUUAACACUUCCUUAAAAUGGAAUCCUUUGAGGCAAGUUCAUGUCAUCAGCACAGGGCCAACGAUGAGUAAACUGAGUUGCAACAGAGUGAGUCAUCCAAUCCGGUCAUGGAAAGUGAGAGAGAGUCUGGGAGAGCUGCCUACACAGCGGGCUUCUUGCAUAGGCGCCCUUCCUCUGGAUGGCAGUAGGCCGGUCAUGACAGGGCCAUUGCAUUAACACCAUCUCAGCCACUGAUUUUGCUGGCUUAUAGGUAAAUCAGUUUUAGGGGUUUAACACCAGAAAGGGUAAUCUAUUAUAAAUUAUAAAUCCUUAUUUUUCAAUAGUAGAACCUGGAGUCCUUCCGUUUUAUUUUCAACAAACUAUCUCAUGAUCUAUGAGAUAUUUCAACAUUAUCUAUCUCAUGGUAAGAUGACAAUAAGUUAGGAAAUAAAUGAUAAGGAGACCACUUGUGUGUUCAUUUUCAUAGGACUGUUUCACUUAUCAAUCACUACUUGCAUAUAUCCUCCCUAAGAAUUUUCUUUUCAUGUUCUAUUGAUUAGCUAGGAAAUUUCUUCAGUGUUUAACACAUUUUGUAUUGAUGAUCUGUGUUGUCCAAAAAAAAACAACUGCAUUUGUGGUCAUAAAAUGAGAGUUUUACAUCCCUUAUUCUAAUUCAUUAUUAGGCAAAUCACUUUUUUUCACGAACCUUGUUUCAUUAAGCAUAAAGUGGAAAUAUGUAAAAUUUCCUCAUAGUGUUACUGUUAGCUGAAAUUAGGUAAAUGUGGAAUUUGUUUCAUAACCUAAAUCACAAUAUAAAAUGUAAGAGAUUAAAAAUAUGUGAAAAGGGAGAGAAGGAUUUAGUGAUUUAUUUUUUUAAAAAGGGAAGCACCAACAAACAAACAAGCAUAAACAAUCUUCUUUGGAGACCUGUGUUCAUAAGCAGAUUGUAGAAGGACACCUACAUUGGAGGCUGUAGAUAUUACAAAAUAUUUUUUAUGGUAAAUGCAGGUAUUUAAUAGACAUGGUUAUUAUAAUAAGUGCAUAACAAGAAAUGUGGAUUAGUCCUUCAGUUAAGCAGUUAAGUGUUAUUUAAGCCUUACUACUACUGUAGAAAAUAAAUAUGAUUAGUAUGAGAAAGUCAAAUGCCUGUGGACUAAGUUGUAAAAUAGGGACAUGGCACACAUUAA